CCUGCAGUAGCUCUCCCUGUCCCCCCCUUCCCUCCUGCCAGCCUUCUCCCCUCCAGCCACCCUGACCUUUUUCCUUCUCAGAUACACCAAGUUGUUCAUUCCUCAAAGCUGUUUUCUUCCAGACCACAGUUCACUGAUAUUCAACCUAAAUGUUCCCUCCUACAGAAAGCCUCCCCAAUAGGACUACGUAGCGGCCUCCUACCAUUCCACAUCCCAGUCUGAGGCUGUAAGGAGAGGUUAAGUGGGGCAAAUUCUGGAGAAAUGGCUUAGAAAAAGGAAAUAUCCUGAUCAGAUUAGAGUUCUUAAAACGACAUAGAAUGAACUCAAGGAAGACGGGAAAGAAGCGGCCUCUCUCCUUUCAGGAGGACAGCGCUCCUACCCAAAGAGGGAAGACCAACGACUAGAGGUGGGGAUGGGGAAGACGGCAGCGGUGACUCUCGGAGCGCGCUCCCACCAGCGACGGGAGGGGGUUCCCGGAAGGCGCCGCAUCCCAGGCCCUGGCGGCAAUUUCAGCAGGGACUUCCGUGACUCCGCAGCGCCCCCACCCCCACCCCCGCGGGAGGCCGGCACCUGGCGUGGCGAGCGCCAGGCUGGCGGCGCACUCGCAGCUCUCGCGGCGCACGGCGGCGAAGGGGUCCAGCAGCGUGCAGCGCAGCACCCGCACGGCGUCGUCCAGGGGAGACCGGCGCUUUCACGACGGCCGCCGCGCGGAUUACGGCUUCCCUUCCGGUUGGCUGCGAAUGCAACUUUAUUGGCAGCUCUAGGCCGGGGCGGGCCGGAAACACCUCGGCUCCCUGCGCGCACAGGGCUCAGCGUUUUCGAUAGGAAGCGAAACUGGCCGGAGGAGCGAAUGGCGAAGGGAGUUGAUGUGGACAGGUUCCUGGAGUGGGCGCCUGUGAGGUCUACGGCCCAACCCAGAACUGCCUGCAGGCUGUCGAGCCCGUGAUGUUGCUGCCUCCGUGUCCAUGUGGUGUAGCCAGGCCCCCUGCAGGGUCUCUGGACUAGCACCAGCUCCUCCCAUGCACUUGUAUCCUAGACUUCCUGCAGAAUCACAGUGAGUGAAAGUUUCUGGUGUCACUCCCCUACAACCUUUGUGCUCAACACGUCCCCGAUACCCAGGGAGCCUCCACAAAGUUGACCAAAGCCCUGUUCUUUUUGGCUCGAAUGGACCCGAUCCGGCUUUAGUCCAGAACCUCCAAAGCAUUCCAUCCACAGACCCUUUCUCCGCCUGCACCCUGCCUCAACCUGCCCACGUGCCGUGCAGUGCACCCCCAGGACCUGCGAGUCAUAAGCUCCUCUAUUCCACCUUCCCUCAGGUUCUACCUAACAAACGUGAAUUUAACAAAGUCACAGUACAGGUGAGAAAAGUGCAGGGAACGCCACCACUUUCUGGUCACAGGACUGGGAAAGGGAAGGCCUAGCGGAGGCUAGUGGGGAGCCACACCCCCACUCCACACUGUGCCACAGCACUGGCAUCAGAGCCCCACAGGCCCACCAGUUCCUGUGGUGCUGGGGCAGGCUCCUCUGCAGGGGCGGAGUCAGUGCAGCCCAGGGUCUUCCCACCGACCCCCUGGUGGUACGAGGAGACCCAGGACCAGCAGGUGCUGCCCUGCCCCCUCCAACAGCCACGGCAGUGCCAGAGGGACAAGCAGACCAUGAGUACAUGGCCAGGGCUGGGAAAUGAAACUGGCACCACAGUCCACAAAGGUAGGCUGGAAUGUCCAUGCCAGACCGAAGCAGGGCAACUUCCUGUUACAGCUGUGGGUUUCAGUGAUGUCAGUGAGCACAAGGCUCAGGAUACGCUCCCAGAUCACUGGUGCUGUCAGGAGCCAGGAAAACCACUGUUUGAAGGAACAAUUAACCGAUAAUUAAUUGAUAUAAAUGCCAAGAUGAAUCAGGUGUUGUGUGGAGAGCUGCCAGGAGAGCUGCCAGGGGAAGAGAUGUGUGCCCUGACCUAAGAUCAGCCACCUGCAGGGCUGGACAGUGUUAUCACUCCCAGCUCAAGGCCAGAGACAGCUUGGCUGGACUUUCUUAUCAGCUCCUCAGACGCUGUGCUAAAACUGCGGCUUUUGUUUUUUCUUUACCCUAGCCCCUUCACGUGACCCUGUUUCUUAGCAACUGACCUGUGCUUUCUGCUCUUUAUAAGAUGCUUGUGUUUUCUCAAUAAACUGAGGCUUGAU
rnacentral:lncRNA from 1 species